rnacentral:rRNA from 1 species
AAGCGCUUCCAACCAGACUCCGCGGCGGUGUUCCGCCGGUCUUCUGACCGGUCCACUCGCCGCCGUGGGGCCAACAUCGUCUGGGGCCGCCGGAUAAGACCGUGGGAAUGUAGCUCCUAGAGUGUUAUAGCCUGCGGUGAUGCGGCGCGUCCCGGGCGAGGUCUGCGCUUCGGCAAGGAUGUUGGCGUAAUGGUUGGCAGCGG